CGCGUAGGCGGCCCCGUAAGUCCGCUGUGAAAGUCAAAGGCUCAACCUUUGAAAGCCGGUGGAUACUGUGGGGCUAGAGUCCGGAAGAGGCGAGUGGAAUUCCUGGUGUAGCGAUGGAAUGCGCAGAUAUCAGGAGGAACACCAAUAGCGAAGGCAGCUCGCUGGGACGGUACUGACGCUAAGGCGCGAAAGCGUGGGGAGCGAACA
rnacentral:rRNA from 1 species